rnacentral:rRNA from 1 species
AACGAACGCUGGCGGCAGGCCUAACACAUGCAAGUCGAGCGAGGACUUCGUUACUACCGGCGGACGGGUGAGUAACGCGUCGGAAUGUUCCCUUCUCCACCGAAUACCCCUGGGAAACUGGGAGUAAUAUCGUAUACCCUCUACUGAUGCCAGAUUUAACGGAGGAGGAUCAGCACGCGUUGGAUUACGUAGUUGGUAGGGUAAUGGCCUACGAAGGCGACGUUCCAUAGCUGGUUUGAGAGGAUGGUCAGCCACACUCGGACUGAGACGCGGCGCAGACUCCUACGCGAGGGAGGAAAGGGGAAUCUUGCACAACCGCGGGAGUCAUGAAGGAGCUAGGCCGGGAGAGUGAUGAAGGCCUUAAGGUAGAAAAGCUCGUUAAGCUGGGAAGAUAAUGACGGUACCAGAAGAAGAAGCACCGGCUAACUCCGUG